rnacentral:ribozyme from 1 species
CUGUCACAAUUGGCCAGGUUGACAGGUGUCGUACGGGAUGCCAAGGGCGUCAAGCCGGGCCUCUCAAUGGUUGUCCAUGCCGACGCGUUGG